rnacentral:rRNA from 1 species
GGCCAGACUCCUACGGGAGGCAGCAGUGGGGAAUAUUGCACAAUGGGGGAAACCCCGAUGCAGCGACGCCGCGUGAGUGAAGAAGUAUUUCGGUAUGUAAAGCUCUAUCAGCAGGGAAGAAAAUGACGGUACCUGACUAAGAAGCCCCGGCUAACUACGUGCCAGCAGCCGCGGUAAUACGUAGGGGGCAAGCGUUAUCCGGAUUUACUGGGUGUAAAGGGAGCGUAGACGGCAUGGCAAGUCAGAUGUGAAAGCCCGGGGCUCAACCCCGGGACUGCAUUUGAAACUGUCAGGCUGGAGUGCAGGAGAGGUAAGUGGAAUUCCUAGUGUAGCGGUGAAAUGCGUAGAUAUUAGGAGGAACACCAGUGGCGAAGGCGGCUUACUGGACUGUAACUGACGUUGAGGCUCGAAAGCGUGGGGAGCAAACAGGAUUAGAUACCCCCGUACU